rnacentral:rRNA from 1 species
UGAUAAGGAAACCCCGAGUGCCAGCACAGGCUGGCUGUCCGCCAGUGUAAAUAACUGGUGAAGAAAGGGCCGGGCAAGACCGGUGCCAGCCGCCGCGGUAAUACCGGCGGCUCGAGUGGUGGCCACUAUUACUGGGCUUAAAGGGUCCGUAGCUUGAUAUGCAAGUCUCUUGAGAAAUCCGCCAGCUUAACUGGUGGGCGUUCAGGGGAAACUGCAUUUCUAGGGACCGGGAGAGGUGAGGGGUACUUUAGGGGUAGGAGUGAAAUCCUGUAAUCCUUGGGGGACCACCUGUGGCGUAGGCGCCUCACCAGAACGGCUCCGACAGUGAGGGACGAAAGCUAGGGGAGCAAACCGGAUUAGAUACCCGGGUAGUCCCAGCCGUAAACGAUGCGCGUUAGGUGUAUCGAUGACCACGAGUCAUCGAGGUGCCGAAGGGAAACCGUGAAACGCGCCGCCUGGGAAGUACGGUCGCAAGGCUGAACUUAGAGGAAUUGGCGGGGGACAGGGCGAAUUCGUUUAAACCUGCAGGACUAGUCCCUUUAGUGAGGGUUAAUUCUGAGCUUGGCGUAAUCAUGGUCAU